CCUACGGGGCGCAGCAGUGAGGAAUAUUGGUCAAUGGGCGUAAGCCUGAACCAGCCAAGUCGCGUGAGGGAUGAAGGUUCUAUGGAUCGUAAACCUCUUUUAUAAGGGAAUAAAGUGUGGGACGUGUCCUGUUUUGUAUGUACCUUAUGAAUAAGGAUCGGCUAACUCCGUGCCAGCAGCCGCGGUAAUACGGAGGAUCCGAGCGUUAUCCGGAUUUAUUGGGUUUAAAGGGUGCGUAGGCGGCCUUUUAAGUCAGCGGUGAAAGUUUGUGGCUAAACCAUAGAAUUGCCGUUGAAACUGGGAGGCUUGAGUAUGUUUGAGGCAGGCGGAAUGCGUGGUGUAGCGGUGAAAUGCUAAGAUAUCACGCAGAACCCCGAUUGCGAAGGCAGCCUGCCAAGCCAUGACUGACGCUGAUGCACGAAAGCGUGGGGAUCAAACAGGAUUAGAUACCCGGGUAGUC
rnacentral:rRNA from 1 species